rnacentral:rRNA from 1 species
GACGAACGCUGGCGGCGUGCUUAACACAUGCAAGUCGAACGAAGUGGCGAACGGGUGAGUAAUACGUGGGUAACUGCCCUCCUUUUUGGGAUAAGCCUUGGAAACGGGGUCUAAUACCAAAUGGUCUAAGAUGGACUCGCGUCCCAUUAGCUAGUUGGUGAGGUAACGGCCCACCAAGGCGACGAUGGGUAGCCGGCCUGAGAGGGUGACCGGCCACAUUGGGCUGAGAUACGGCCCAGACUCCUACGGGAGGCAGCAGUGGGGGAUAUUGCACAAUGGGCGAAAGCCUGAUGCAGCGACGCCGCGUGGGGGAUGAAGGCUUUCGGGUUGUAAACCUCUUUCGCUAUCGAACAGGUAGGUGGAGAAGAAGCGCCGGCUAACUACGUGCCAGCAGCCGCGGUAAUAC